rnacentral:rRNA from 1 species
GACGAACGCUGGCGGCGUGCUUAACACAUGCAAGUCGAACGGAGUGGCGAACGGGUGAGUAUUACGUGAGUAACCUGCCCUCAACUGUGGGAUAAGCCUGGGAAACUGGGUCUAAUACUGCAUAGUUGGGGAUGGGUUCGCGGCCGAUCUGCUUGUUGGUGGGGUGAAGGCCUACCAAGGCGAUGACGGGUAGCCGGCCUGGGAGGGUGGUCGGCCACAUUGGGGUUGAGAUACGGCCCAGACUCCUCCGGGAAGCCGCAGUGGGGGAUAUUGCACGAUGUGCGCAAGCGUGUUGCAGCGACGCCGCGUGGGGGAUGGAUGCUGUCGGGUUGUAAACCUCUUUCGGUACGGAACGGGUAUGUGCAGAAGAAGCGCCGGCUAACUACGUGCCAGCCGCCGCGGUAAUAC